CGGGGGGGGGCAAGCGUUGUUCGGAAUUACUGGGCGUAAAGGGCUCGUAGGCGGCCAACUAAGUCCGACGUGAAAUCCCCAGGCUCAACCUGGGAACUGCGUCGGAUACUGGAUGGCUCGAAUUCGGGAGAGGGAUGCAGAAUUCCAGGUGUAGCGGUGAAAUGCGUAGAUAUCUGGAGGAAUACCGGUGGCGAAGGCGGCAUCCUGGACCGACAUUGACGCUGAUGAGCGAAAGCUAGGGGAGCAAACGGGAUUAGAUACCCCGGUAGUCCUAGCCCUAAACGAUGAAUGCUUGGUGUGACGGGUAUCGAUCCCUGUCGUGCCGAAGCUAACGCAUUAAGCAUUCCGCCUGGGGAGUACGGUCGCAAGGCUG
rnacentral:rRNA from 1 species